rnacentral:rRNA from 1 species
UUGGCGGACGGGUGAGUAACGCGUGGGUAACCUGCCUUGUACUGGGGGACGAACAGUUGGAAACGACUGCUAAUACCGCAUAAGCGCACAGCUUCGCAUGAAGCGGUGUGAAAAACUCCGGUGGUACAAGAUGGACCCGCGUCUGAUUAGCUGGUUGGUGAGGUAACGGCCCACCAAGGCAACGAUCAGUAGCCGGCCUGAGAGGGUGAACGGCCACAUUGGGACUGAGACACGGCCCAA